rnacentral:rRNA from 1 species
UGCAUGUCUAGUAUAAGUUUCCAAUGCGAACAAAACUGCAAUGGCUCAUAAAAUCAGUAGUCGAUUGCUUGCUGAUUUAUUUGUCGGAUAUCCGUGGAAAUUCUACAGUUAAUACGUGAAAUAACGAGGCGUUCCAUCUUGGAUUCUCUGGGGACGUGUGAGGCAGCUUUCUCCUAGCACAUUCUACUGCUGUGCGAACUACGAAGCUGUUUGAAACCAUUCCGCACAUAUAUCGCGUGGGCCAAUGCCGGUGAGCCGGCAUCAAUAUUACUGCCCCAUCAGGCCUCGACGAUAAGGUAUUUGCUAAUCGUGCCUUCAACGGGUAACGGGGAAUUGGGGUUUUAUUCCGGAGAGGGAGCUUUAAAAAUAGCUGCUACAUCUAAGGACGGCAGCAGGCGCGUAAAUUACCUAUUCUUGAAGCAGGGAGGUAGCAAGGAGCCAUAUCGGCACCCUAGACUUAGGUGUGGUCAAAGUCUGUAUGUUUUUAAAACGGUUAGCACGGAUGAAGCCGAGGGAAAGUCUGGUGCCAGCAGCCGCGGUAAUACCAGCUCGGUUAGCAUAUAUAUUAAUUGUUGCAGUUAAAACGUUCGUAUUUGAUCCCGUGUAUGCCGCCUGGGUAAGUAUCCAACUAUUGUGCAGUUGCGCUUGCCCAUCCUACAGUCCCUGUACUGCGGUUUUCAGAGCCUUCGAGCUCCCAUGACUAGGUGCUGUGCUCUGAGUAAACCGGGUGUG